AGAGUUUGAUCCUGGCUCAGAUUGAACGCUGGCGGCAGGCCUAACACAUGCAAGUCGAACGGUAGCACAGAGGAGCUUGCUCCUUGGGUGACGAGUGGCGGACGGGUGAGUAAUGUCUGGGAAACUGCCCGAUGGAGGGGGAUAACUACUGGAAACGGUAGCUAAUACCGCAUAACGUCGCAAGACCAAAGAGGGGGACCUUCGGGCCUCUUGCCAUCGGAUGUGCCCAGAUGGGAUUAGCUAGUAGGUGGGGUAACGGCUCACCUAGGCGACGAUCCCUAGCUGGUCUGAGAGGAUGACCAGCCACACUGGAACUGAGACACGGUCCAGACUCNUACGGGAGGCAGCAGUGGGGAAUAUUGCACAAUGGGCGCAAGCCUGAUGCAGCCGUGCCGCGUGUAUGAAGAAGGCCUUCAGGUUGUAAAGUACUUUCAGCGAGGAGGAAGG
rnacentral:rRNA from 1 species